rnacentral:rRNA from 1 species
UACGUAGGGUGCGAGCGUUGUCCGGAAUUAUUGGGCGUAAAGAGCUCGUAGGCGGUGUGUCACGUCGGCCGUGAAAACCUGCAGCUUAACUGUGGGCGUGCGGUCGAUACGGGCAUCACUGGAGUUCGGCAGGGGAGACUGGAAUUCCUGGUGUAGCGGUGAAAUGCGCAGAUAUCAGGAGGAACACCGGUGGCGAAGGCGGGGUCUC